rnacentral:rRNA from 1 species
GCAACCUACGGGACGCAGCAGUAGGGAAUUUUGCGCAAUGGGGGAAACCCUGACGCAGCAACACCGCGUGAAUGUUAAGCCCUUCGGGGUGUAAAGUUCUGUCAAUAGGGACGAAUUUUGACUGUACCUAUAAAGGAAGCACCGGCUAACUCCGUGCCAGCAGCCGCGGUAAUACGGGGGGUGCAAGCGUUGUCCGGAAUCAUUGGGCGUAAAGCGUUCGUAGGCGGUAAAGUAAGUCAGAUGUUAAAGCCCGGGGCUCAACUCCGGUUCGGCAUUUGAUACUACUUGACUAGAAUGCGGUAGAG